rnacentral:rRNA from 1 species
CCUACGGGAGGCAGCAGUAGGGAAUAUUGCUCAAUGGGGGAAACCCUGAAGCAGCAACGCCGCGUGGAUGAUGAAGGUUUUAGGAUUGUAAACUCCUUUUGUUAGAGAAGAUUAUGACGGUAUCUAACGAAUAAGCACCGGCUAACUCCGUGCCAGCAGCCGCGGUAAUACGGAGGGUGCAAGCGUUACUCGGAAUCACUGGGCGUAAAGAGUGCGUAGGCGGGGUAAUAAGUCAGAUGUGAAAUCCUGUGGCUUAACUACAGAACUGCAUAUGAAACUGUUACUCUGGAGUGUGGUAGAGGUAGGUGGAAUUCUUGGUGUAGGGGUAAAAUCCGUAGAGAUCAAGAGGAAUACUCAUUGCGAAGGCGACCUGCUGGAACAUUACUGACGCUGAUGCACGAAAGCGUGGGGAGCAAACAGGAUUAGAUACCCGUGUAGUC